rnacentral:piRNA from 1 species
CACAAGCUGGAUUUAUAUAACUCA